UACCAGCACCCCGAGUGGUCGGGACGUUUAUUGGGCCUAAAGCAUCCGUAGCCGGUUCUACAAGUCUUCCGUUAAAUCCAGCUGCUUAACAGAUGGGCUGCGGAAGAUACUAUGGAGCUAGGAGGCGGGAGAGGCAAGCGGUACUCGAUGGGUAGGGGUAAAAUCCGUUGAUCCAUUGAAGACCACCAGUGGCGAAGGCGGCUUGCCAGAACGCGCUCGACGGUGAGGGAUGAAAGCUGGAGGAGCAAACCGG
rnacentral:rRNA from 1 species